AGAGUUUGAUCCUGGCUCAGGAUGAACGCUAGCGGCAGGCUUAACACAUGCAAGUCGAGGGGUAUAUGUCUUCGGAUAUAGAGACCGGCGCACGGGUGCGUAACGCGUAUGCAAUCUACCUUUUACAGAGGGAUAGCCCAGAGAAAUUUGGAUUAAUACCUCAUAGUAUAGUGACUCGGCAUCGAGAUACUAUUAAAGUCACAACGGUAAAAGAUGAGCAUGCGUCCCAUUAGCUAGUUGGUAAGGUGACGGCUUACCAAGGCUACGAUGGGUAGGGGUCCUGAGAGGGAGAUCCCCCACACUGGUACUGAGACACGGACCAGACUCCUACGGGAGGCAGCAGUGAGGAAUAUUGGACAAUGGGCGCAAGCCUGAUCCAGCCAUGCCGCGUGCAGGAUGACGGUCCUAUGGAUUGUAAACUGCUUUUGUACGAGAAGAAACACUCCUACGUGUAGGAGCUUGACGGUAUCGUAAGAAUAAGGAUCGGCUAACUCCGUGCCAGCAGCCGCGGUAAUACGGAGGAUCCAAGCGUUAUCCGGAAUCAUUGGGUUUAAAGGGUCCGUAGGCGGUUUAGUAAGUCAGUGGUGAAAGCCCAUCGCUCAACGGUGGAACGGCCAUUGAUACUGCUAAACUUGAAUUAUUAGGAAGUAACUAGAAUAUGUAGUGUAGCGGUGAAAUGCUUAGAGAUUACAUGGAAUACCAAUUGCGAAGGCAGGUUACUACUAAUGGAUUGACGCUGAUGGACGAAAGCGUGGGUAGCGAACAGGAUUAGAUACCCUGGUAGUCCACGCCGUAAACGA
rnacentral:rRNA from 1 species